GUAUCGGUUUUGGGUGCCACGGAAACUAAUUUUAUCGGUUUUGCUUUCAGAAACAAUGCAAGAAGAUAGUCGCACACGGAUUUGAAAUGUAAGUUAAGAAAUCAAGUUAUUUUAUUGUUGCGAAUUGAUUUAUCUUUAUUUCUAUAAGGGAAAACAAAUACAAAACACAAAAUGUCUUAAUCAUUGAGUUUUUGAACAAAACAUCCGGGUAUGUAAAGAUAAUAGAUUUACAAAACGUAAUUUAACACCCAAAUGCGUCUUUAUUCAUUCGAUAAAUGUUUUCUCUUAAAAUCUUCCUUUAAUUCGAAUUUUAUUAAAAACUUUAAAGGGAUUGCUUCCAAAUGUAUUCAUUUGCAAGUUUUGUCACAUUAGUAAACAGCUGAUUCGAAUAUUGGUUUUGCGUAUGUUCGAAAAGACAAAAAUUCAAUCAGAUUAUGUGACACCAUUUAAAAUCAGAAUUGGUUUGCAAUUCUGACAGCUAAGCAGUUCUGUCUUGG